rnacentral:rRNA from 1 species
AACGAACGCUGGCGGCGUGGUUAAGACAUGCAAGUCGAACGACACAUUGUAGCAAUAUGGUGUGUAGUGGCGAACGGGUGAGUAAUGCAUGGGUAACGUGCCUUGAACUCAGGGAUAGCGUCGAGCCCCGCAAGGGGUUCUUUGCGAAAGUGACGGUAAUACCUGAUGACGCCCAUGGAGGGCAUCCUCCGUGGCUCAAAGACGGGGACCGCAAGGCCUGUCGGUUUGAGAUCGGCCCAUGUCCUAUCAG